CACCAUGCUGUGCCCCAUGUCCCGUUCUCCAUAGGGACACUGGAAUGUCACCCACCCCCCAUUCCCCAUAGGACGCCGUUCUGUACCCCACCCCCAUUCCCCAUAGGACGCCGUUCUGCACGUCCCCACCUCCCACAACCUAUGGGAUCCCCACGCUGUCCCCCACCCCCCCGUUCCCCACGGUGACCCCAUUCUGCGGCUCCCCCCGCCGCCCCUCUUCGGGGUGACGGCAGCGGUGGGGAACGCAGCAGUGCAGGGGAUCAGAGCCCGUCUGCGACCUCGGCGCGGGGCCGUGGGAUCCGCUUGCAGCUGCUGACAGGCGCAAAUCCCGACGUCCUGCAGGCUGUUGGCAGCGCUGGAGGGACGGCGGCGCCACGGGGGUGACACCAAGGGGCGGCGUUUUGUGCUGGAUCUGAGCCGCCGCUGCUCCGCUGCUCCCACUUGGGCUGCUGGGGUUCGGCUCAUCUCCGUCGCCAACGGGAGCCGCCGCCGCCGUGGGGCUCCAACCCCACACAGCUCCCAUCGCACCGCGCUCCCCUCCCCGGCUGCUGAUUUCGGCUUCUUUGCCUUUCUAUCAGCUCCUUUGGGGGCUGUUUUGGAUGCUUUCGUGCUGGGUUGGGGGCUGCAGGGUCCCCCGAAGCUCCGCUCUGCUGCUGCUGGGGAUCCGGGGGCUGACGGCGCUCCGAGGUUCAGUGAGGGCAGCUGGAGAGGAGCCGCGCUUGGGGAUGGAGUCGAUCUCCUCGUCAUCCGCGUCCUUUCACAGCUGGAACCAUCAAACCCCCUCCUGCUGGUUCCUGCGAGCCGACAGGGUGGCCAAGAAGGUGACACAAACGCUGUCCUGGCGGACAAACAGUUGAUCCGUGGGCGACCAACGAUGGACCGCAGGGUGAGCGUGGGCCAACAGCGCCCUGGUGGCCGUGGAGGUGACGCAAAUGAUGUCCUGGAUGACCAGCAGUUGACCAACAAGUGACCGUGGGGUGACUGUGAGCCUGCAGGGUGCCCUGGGGGCCAAGGAGGCCAUGGGGUGACCAUGUGUGUGCAGGGUGCCCUGGGGGCUGAGGAAGUGACACAAAUGGUGUCCUGGAUGACCAGCAGUUGACCAACAAGUGACCACAGGGUGACAACGAGCCAGCAGGGUGCCCUGGUGGCCAAGAAGCCCCUGGGGUGACCACGAGUCUGCAGGGUGCCCUGGGGGCCGAGGAAGUGACACAAAUGGUGUCCUGGAUGGCCAACGGUUGAUCAGUGGUUGCCCACAGGGUGACCGUGAGCCAGCAGGGUGUCCUGGUGGCCAAGAAGGUGACACAAAUGGCGUCCUGGAUGACCAGCAGUUGACCAACAAUUGACCAGAAGGUGACCGUGAGCCAUCAGUGUGCCUUGGUAGCCAUGAAAGUGACACAAAUGGGGUCCUGGAUGACCAACGGUUGACCAAUGGGUGACCAGUUGGUGACAAUGAACCAGCAGGGUGCCCUGGUGGCCAAGAAGCCCCUGGGGUGACCACGAGUCUGCAGGGUGCCCUGGGGGCCGAGGAAGUGACACAAAUGGUGUCCUGGAUGGCCAACGGUUGAUCAGUGGUUGACCACAGGGUGACCGUGAGCCAGCAGGGUGUCCUGGUGGCCAAGAAGCCCCUGGGGUGACCAUGAGUCUGCAGGGUGCCCUGGGGGCCAAGGAAGUGACACAAAUGGUGUCCUGGAUGACCAGCAGUUGACCAACAAGUGACCACAGGGUGACAAUGAACCAGCAGGGUGCCCUGGUGGCCAAGAAGCCCCUGGGGUGACCACGAGUCUGCAGGGUGCC